UACUGCUCAAAAAUAGCAUAAAACUUUCAUUUUUUACCAAGACAAGGGGAAUAUAUUUUGGGGCAGUGAGCACAAUACUGUGAAACUGUGAUAUUUUUGUCCAAGGUUAUCAUACCGUCAGAAUCUCAUACUGGCCCAUGCCUACCACAGAUUGGCAGUGGGGGACUUAAGAUAUAUAUUGGGGCAAAUAAUUUCUAAUGGGGAACUGAGACAAAUUGAACAGCAAGCUGACACUAAUAGAUUUUCAUCAAGCAUUCCUUUUGGCAAACGUAGCAACUGCUUGAGGAGCAGUGAUUAGAAGAAAGUUUUCAGCACCAGCUGAGGCCAUACGUAAUAUAAAAUUUACCCCUAAGGCAAAUGAAAAACCGGCAGCUUAUGUGAUGUAGUGCAAACAGGAGUGGGAAGCCCAAACUGGGACACAUCCUCUUGCUAACCCCAUACAUAAAGGGGUGUUUAGAGCAGUCAUGGCUGAGAGUAUGGAAAGCUGCGUCAAAGCAGCUCUAAAAGAAAAGCCAGAUAUACCAGGAAGUGCUCCUGCCACCUGGGAGAGACAUUUGACACAUCGUAUGAACAGGGCUAAAGACAAAGCUGACGAGAGUCUGAAAUCAAGGAAGAAAAAACUAUUAUUAAAAUUAUGAACAAAGCUAGAUAGGAUGUCAAUGGUCAGAACUAAAAAAGUCAACAAUUGGUGCUGUCACCUAAGCCUGAACAACCCUACAUGGCACCCGUGUACAACCCAAUACCUUAAUGCCAACAUUAAUUUAGAGGACAGAGUAGGGGAGACAUGAGGGUUCAAUGGGGUCCCAGGGCUGACAGGGGGCGGGAGCGUUGAGAGGGUUACUUCCUGUGUGGGUUACCCAACCAUCAAGCAUGUGACUGUCAAAGAUGCUACACGUGCAAUCAAGGGGAAUACAAUUCAACUAACUGUCCCCAGAGCCAGAACCAACAAGCCCACAGAGGGGGUAUGCAAGGAGGCCGAGGCUUCAUGGCAUCACACACAGGGCUAGCUCUAAACCCUGGCAGACAGAACCCAGGGCAGGGUGGAACCCUAUAUCCACUCUAAGGAGGAGAAGGACAGUACUGAGGAAGCACACACAGAGACAGAAGCAGGGCUAGGGAGGAGCCACUGCUAUCGAUGGAUUUUAACGAACACCAUCUGAACUUUUUGGUUGACACUCAGGCCACAUGCUCAAUGUUGGUCACCAAAGACGACCAGGACUUAAUUUCACCAAAAAAAAAAAAAAAAAUUCCUGUGGAAGUGAUGGCUUUCUCUGAGCAAUGUGAAUGUGAAAGACUGCCUUUAACUGAGCCUAUAUCAGUGUCUGUGGCUGGACAACAACUGAAACACAGAUUUCUGUUAUCAGACAGAGCCCUAUGGACUUAUUGGGCACAGACUUGUGGAUAAAAGUGGGUGCAUCAAUUCUGUGCUGUGCUGAUGGUGUCAUUGUAAGAUUUCCCACAGGCCUCACCAAGAACUGUUCAUUAAACACACCUGGCAUGGAAGGACAGUGGCUACUGUCAUCUGCAUAAGAACCUGAGGAAGCUGACAAAUACUGGAGCAAACUGUAACCAGAUACCCCACAAGGAGAGGGCCAGCUCUCGCUCUAUGCCUUAUGGAAAUCUUGGGUAACCCUUAUUGCACCAUACAUGCCUUUCAGCGACCCAACACACAUGACUUUAUUCUAUAACAGAAACCAAACCAAAUGGGAUUAAGAAACUUUUUAAAGCAAAUUGGAAGACUAUUAUUGGCAAAUUGGGUGAAAGGGAAUUUGGGUGGAAAAAAAGGAGUAGUAGGGGCAAUUUACUUGGCUACAGAACAUAGAUAAUAGUAUAUGAUGGGUCCAGAAGCAGAACCACAUGUCAAAUUGACCAUACAUCCAGAGCACCAAGCUAAGGAUUUAGGGCCAAUGAUAAAAGGAUUGUCUAAAUGGACAGAUUAGGUUGCCACCAAAAUACCAAAUGUAUUUUAUCCACCAUCAGAUAAAACAUAUCUAAUUGAUACGUCUACAGUAGAUAGCAUGAUCAUGAAACACGUAUUGGUCACGAGGUGGCAUGGAAAGGGACAGAACAGAUCAUGAGCUGACAGUACCAAUGUUAGACCUUUUACCAAGCCAAUUAUGGUCCACAGGACCAACAGAUGUGUAUUUUUGUUCCUUGGCUUCAGACAAUUGAAUUGACUGAAAAUAGGCUGAUUUGACAGGCACACUAUUCUUACAAGCCACAAGGUGAGACAGUCAUUGCAGACACAAUAGAAGAAUUGAUAACAGUAGGUGUGUUAGAGCCAUCAAACUCAUGACAGAAUUUUACUCCAAAUUUAUCUGUAGAAAAACAAAAUACAGGAAACUACAGGAUGGCUCAUGGAAAAAAAGGUUAACACGAUAGUGCAGACAGCCACAUUACCAAUGCCAAAAUCCAUACGCUGCACUAUAAGCAUUGAGUCCAGAACAUGAGUGGUUCACCCGUAUAGAUUUAGCUAAUUCAUUUUUCUGUUUACCACUGGCACCAAAAUUGAGGGACAUUUUCAUUUACCUUUAGGGGGCAGCAAUACAGGUACACAAGGGUACCUCUAAGUUUCAUAUUGUCUCCAGGGUUGUUCAAUCACACCCUGAGAGCUCUACUGAGCGAUUGACCUUUGCCAGAGAGAGUGGUGUUGAUCCAAUAUUUGGAUGACAAUUUACUAGCUGCAAAAACAGAUGACACCAGUUUAAAUGUGACUAAGCAGGAGUAAUUAUAAAUAUUUCAAAGUAAGUAAAUCAAAAUUACAAGUGUGUAGGCCACAGGUCACAUUGAUGGGACGAGUAGUGUCUGGACUGGACAUGGUAAUAUCUCCCAACCACCGAUCAGCUAUUUUGAAGAACAAAAAACGAUGACUAUAAAAGAUAUGCUGUCAUUUUUGGGCCUGGCUGGGUUCAGUAGACACCUCAUACCACAAUUCAUUGAUAGAACAACACCAUUAAGACAACUAGUGUAGGAAAAGGGAGCUGGACAGUUGAAUGCUACACUAGAUUGGACAACAGAAACAGAGAAGCAGUUCAGCAGCCAGUGUAGCUGAUUUGGCUAAUCUUGAGUAUAGGCGUCCUUUCUAUUAAGAUGUGUCAGAAACAGAAAAGACAGUGGAAAAGUUUUGUUUCAGUAAAAAAAGGAAAAAGAUGGUUUUGAUGCAUCUUAGCUUUUUAAUGGACAAGGUAGAACAAUGCCAGCUUCCAUCUACAAAAUUUGCAGCAAAGUUAGAAAAGAUAAUUCAGAAAACAGCACAUCUGAUCAUGAGACAUGAAGUCAAAAUGUAGACAUCACACUCACAGAAGGCAUACGUAACUUCUUUUGCAGUAACAAUGUCAUCGCUAAGACAGAAUAGAUUGUUAAAAAGGUUGAGUGCACCAACAAACCUAAUUUUCACACAUGAUGGCAUCAACAUGGCUGACUAUAUGGUUGAGAGAGAGAGCCACACAAUUGCGAAGAGUUAAUCUUGGGGGAUAGUAAGCUGAGACCAGAUUUAAGAGCAGUGGCACUGACAGGUGAGGUAGAAACUUGCAAACGGAUGGGUAUUGUUAUAGGGAUACUGAAGUAGAAUUAAAAGCAGGCUAUGCAGACAAAUAAUUGGCACAGACCAAAUUAAAUUAGGUAAAGGCCUUACCAAUUGAAUGUAUGGGUAUUAAAUCAUCACUGAAUAGAACAAUGGGUUUUACACCUUUUGAAUUGUUGACAGGUCAUCAGUAUCCAGAACCAGGAGCAGCCUUGACGUGCACUGACAGUGCACCGCUGAUGAACAAGCCAUAUUAUGACAAAUUAACAGCUUUACUCUCAGAUUUUUCUGAACAGAUUUUUGUGAAAUGCCUGGAGGGGGCCUAAGAAAAAGUUGUCCCUACAUCUGAAUAGGUGUUGCUGAAGGUAUUCAGGUGAAAGUGGGAGGAGCCAAGAUUCACCAAACUGGCAGCUGAGGAGUACAGAUGGCGGCCAUGAGUAAAAUCAAGGCCGAGAGGGGGAGUGCGUAGCAAAGAACAACAUAAACAAAUGAUUGACCCGCUGCCCUCAUGCCAAGAGGGGACGUCUGACUAAAUAGGGAGUGCAAGCAUGUAUUGGGGUAGGAGCUAAACACGCAGUAACCUUAAUACAUGGGAGCAACCUGAUAGUAGUGCAGGCCUACGGAUGACAACGAGGAAGUGUGCUAUCACAAAAGAGGGACAAAGAACAGUGUUCUGUUUGAUCACAAAAGAGAAAGUCACUGAUUUACCAACAGAUGACAAUUUGACCAGAACGUUUGAGGUUUUGAUUUUCAUGUUAAUCAAUGUCUUGAUUCUACCCAUAAUGCUACAGUUUUUAAUUUCAUUGUAAAAAGUUUGGACCUUAGAUCUCAAUGAUAUUAUGGUAGUUUUGAAUUUUUCAUUGGAGCAUUUUUUUUACAGGUUUGGAUUUCCUUUUUGAUCGUAAUCAAAUUUCUAAAGCUUGUUUAUUUUGAUUUGAAUUAUAUUGAUAACUAAUAAUAACUGAAUAAUAUAAAUAAAUAAUCAUACCUCUUAUGAUAAAGUGCAUAAGGUAGGAAAAUGAAAUUGUGAAAUAAUUGGAAGUUAAUGGGAGUGUUUGGCAAAACAAGCCUGAAUAUAGUGGGCAUAAUUUUUAUGAUAAGAAAUGAUUAGAAUGAAGCCAUGGAGUAGAGAGACUCCACCACUCAAGAAGAACUAGGGGUGAACAGAUUGUUGAGUGAAUCCAACAGAUAGGGAAUUGAGUUAAAAGGGUUUAUGGGUGUUUUUUAAUAUAAUGAACGAGCACUAUGUAAACAACAAGGUGUAAGCAACCAUUUUGGAAAAAUGGGUAAAGGAUUGUAUUUGGCAAAUAUUUGUAAUAAUGUUAAUUGAUUUUUUUUUUUUUCUUUACGUUUAGAUUUUGGUUAUUUGUGGUUGUGAGCUCCUUUAGAGGAGCUCAAAAGAGGGAUUUUGUUAGAAAUUUAUUACUUUUUAAUUGUAGUUCUUUUAUUUCUUUCUAUGAAUGUAGCUGUGUUAUGCCCAUGUAUGUUAUAUAGUUGUGUCAUGUUUAUGUAUGUAAUUUAGCUGUGUCAUGUUCAUGUAUGUACGUCAAGAGGGGCCAGGGUCUGUGGUGCCAAGGCCAGAUAAUACAGAACGUAAAGGACCACACCCGGCCAAUUCCUAGAACACCAGUUGUUUACACAUGUGUAUAAAAGUGGUUGGAAAGAAAGAGUUGUUGUUGAAGAUGGCCUGAACAUACGUGAGGGACACCUCCAACCCGGAGCUCUGUAUCUAUUGAAUUAUUCAAUUGUAUUCAUUAAAUGGCUAAUACUUUUGCAUUGAAGAAAA